GGAGGGUGUGUUCAGCGGUAGAGCGCAUGCUUAGCAUGCACGAGGUUCUGGGUUCAAUCCCCACUCCCUCCU
rnacentral:tRNA from 1 species